GAGACGUGGACAUUGUGGUAAGGAGGG
rnacentral:sRNA from 1 species